rnacentral:rRNA from 1 species
GGCUUCGGCCCGAGUUGUAAUUUGUAGAGGAUGCUUUUGGUGAGGUGCCUUCUGAGUUCCCUGGAACGGGACGCCAGAGAGGGUGAGAGCCCCGUAUAGUCGGCCACCGAUCCUCUGUAAAGCUCCUUCGACGAGUCGAGUAGUUUGGGAAUGCUGCUCAAAAUGGGAGGUAUAUCUCUUCUAAAGCUAAAUAUAGGCCAGAGACCGAUAGCGCACAAGUAGAGUGAUCGAAAGAUGAAAAGCACUUUGAAAAGAGGGUUAAAUAGCACGUGAAAUUGUUGAAAGGGAAGCGCUUGUGACCAGACUUGCGCCGGGCUGAUCAUCCAGUGUUCUCACUGGUGCACUCGACCCGGCUCAGGCCAGCGUCGGUUCUCGCAGGGGGAUAAAAGCUUCGGGAACGUGGCACCUUCGGGUGUGUUAUAGCCCGCUGCU